GGGAUUGUGGCUCAGUGGUAGAGUACUUGCCUACCAUGCAUGAGGCACUGGGUCUGAUCCUCAGCACCA
rnacentral:tRNA from 1 species